UCUGGUCUGUAACUGACGCUGAGGCUCGAAAGCAUGGGUAGCGAACAGGAUUAGAUACCCCUGGUAGUCCAUGCCGUAAACGAUGAAUGCUAGGUGUUGGAGGGUUUCCGCCCUUCAGUGCCGCAGCUAACGCAUUAAGCAUUCCGCCUGGGGAGUACGACCGCAAGGUUGAAACUCAAAGGAAUUGACGGGGGCCCGCACAAGCGGUGGAGCAUGUGGUUUAAUUCGAAGCAACGCGAAGAACCUUACCAGGUCUUGACAUCUUUUGAUCACCUGAGAGAUCAGGUUUCCCCUUCGGGGGCAAAAUGACAGGUGGUGCAUGGUUGUCGUCAGCUCGUGUCGUGAGAUGUUGGGUUAAGUCCCGCAACGAGCGCAACCCUUAUGACUAGUUGCCAGCAUUUAGUUGGGCACUCUAGUAAGACUGCCGGUGACAAACCGGAGGAAGGUGGGGAUGACGUCAAAUCAUCAUGCCCCUUAUGACCUGGGCUACACACGUGCUACAAUGGAUGGUACAACGAGUUGCGAGACCGCGAGGUCAAGCUAAUCUCUUAAAGCCAUUCUCAGUUCGGACUGUAGGCUGCAACUCGCCUACACGAAGUCGGAAUCGCUAGUAAUCGCGGAUCAGCACGCCGCGGUGAAUACGUUCCCGGGCCUUGUACACACCGCCCGUCACUCCAUGAGAGUUUGUAACACCCGAAGCCGGUGGCGUAACCCUUUAGGA
rnacentral:rRNA from 1 species